rnacentral:rRNA from 1 species
UGUAGUCAUAUGCUUGUCUCAAAGAUUAAGCCAUGCAUGUCUAAGUAUAAGCAAUUAUACCGCGAAACUGCGAAUGGCUCAUUAAAUCAGUUAUCGUUUAUUUGAUAGUACCUUACUACAUGGAUAACCGUGGUAAUUCUAGAGCUAAUACAUGCUGAAAAUCCCGACUUCGGAAGGGAUGUAUUUAUUAGAUUAAAAACCAAUGCCCUUCGGGGCUCUCUGGUGAUUCAUAAUAACUUCUCGAAUCGCACGGCCUUGCGCCGGCGAUGGUUCAUUCAAAUUUCUGCCCUAUCAACUUUCGACGGCUGGGUCUUGGCCAGCCAUGGUGACAACGGGUAACGGAGGGUUAGGGCUCGACCCCGGAGAAGGAGCCUGAGAAACGGCUACUACAUCCAAGGAAGGCAGCAGGCGCGCAAAUUACCCAAUCCCGACUCGGCGAGGUAGUGACAAUAAAUACUGAUACAGGGCUCUUUUGGGUCUUGUAAUUGGAAUGAGUACAAUUUAAAUCCCUUAACGAGGAACAAUUGGAGGGCAAGUCUGGUAAUCG